AUUGAACGCUGGCGGCAGGCUUAACACAUGCAAGUCGAACGAGUGGCGGACGGGGGAGUAAUGCUUGGGAAUCUAGCUUAUGGAGGGGGAUAACUACGGGAAACUUUCGCUAAUACCGCGUACCAUAGUUUGAGCCCAAGUGGGAUUAUGUAGUUGGGGAGGUAAAGGCUCACCAAGCCGACGAUCUCUAGCGGGUCUGAGAGGAAGACCAGCCAAACUGGGACUGAGACACGGCCCAGACUCCGAAGGGAGGCAGCAGGGGGGAAUAUUGCGCAAGGGGGGCAACGUGACGGAGCCAAGCCGCGGGAAUGAAGAAGGCCCUCGGGUUGUAAAGUUCUUUCGGUAGCGAGGCGUUAACUACAGAAGAAGCACCGGCUAACUCCGUGCCAGCAGCCGCGGUAAUAC
rnacentral:rRNA from 1 species